rnacentral:rRNA from 1 species
UACGUAGGGGGCUAGCGUUGUCCGGAUUUAUUGGGCGUAAAGAGCGUGUAGGCGGCCAGGUAGGUCUGGUGUGAAAACUCGAGGCUCAACCUCGAGAUGUCGAUGGAAACCGUCUGGCUAGAGUCCGGAAGAGGAGAGUGGAAUUCCUGGUGUAGCGGUGAAAUGCGCAGAUAUCAGGAAGAACACCCGUGGCGAAGGCGGCUCUCUGGGACGGUACUGACGCUGAGACGCGAAAGCGUGGGGAGCGAACAGG